CUUGGCUAAAACUAGUGCAGAAAAACACGAGUUUUGAAAAUAAUACUCAUGGAAACGUUUCCAAGGGCGAGCCACAAAAUAAGUUUCGGUUUCAUAUAUAAAUCAUUAGAAGCAGAUGUAAGAGGGGACACUGCUGUGUUUUUGCUACUGGUUUCUGUACAAACACUUGAAAGCUCUAGGUAAUAUGUCGAAAGAUUUAUUGGUUUAAUGUAUAUACAGAUGUCUUUCUUGGGUCACGAGACUGGCCAUUUGGCACUGAAAAACUUCACACCAUUUUGGAAGGACGCACGUGCAUUCUUGGUUGACAGAGAUAAUGACAGCAAAUCACCUCAACUCAACACAUGCAAGGGUUAAUCCACUAACCUCUUGUGAAGCAAUCGUUAUCCCG